rnacentral:rRNA from 1 species
GAUGAACGCUGGCGGCGUGCCUAAUACAUGAAAGUCGAGCGAACGGACGAGAAGCUUGCUUCUCUGAUGUUAGCGGCGGACGGGUGAGUAACACGUGGAUAACCUACCUAUAAGACUGGGAUAACUUCGGGAAACCGGAGCUAAUACCGGAUAAUAUUUUGAACCGCAUGGUUCAAAAGUGAAAGACGGUCUUGCUGUCACUUAUAGAUGGAUCCGCGCUGCAUUAGCUAGUUGGUAAGGUAACGGCUUACCAAGGCAACGAUGCAUAGCCGACCUGAGAGGGUGAUCGGCCACACUGGAACUGAGACACGGUCCAGACUCCUACGGGAGGCAGCAGUAGGGAAUAUUCCGCAAUGGGCGAAAGCCUGACGGAGCAACGCCGCGUGAGUGAUGAAGGUCUUCGGAUCGUAAAACUCUGUUAUUAGGGAAGAACAUAUGUGUAAGUAACUGUGCACAUCUUGACGGUACCUAAUCAGAAAGCCACGGCUAACUACGUG